rnacentral:rRNA from 1 species
AAUAGAUACCCGGGUAGUCCACGCCGUAAACGAUGGGUACUAGGUGUCUGGGGGAGCGACCCCCUGGGUGCCGACGCUAACGCAUGAAGUACCCCGCCUGGGGAGUACGGCCGCAAGGCUGAAACUCAAAGGAAUUGACGGGGGCCCGCACAAGCGGUGGAGCAUGUGGUUUAAUUCGACGCAACGCGAAGAACCUUACCUGGGCUUGACAUGCUGGAGAAAGCUUGCGGAAACGUGAGCCCCUCUUCGGAGUUCCAGCACAGAUGCUGCAUGGCUGUCGUCAGCUCGUGUCGUGAGAUGUUGGGUUAAGUCCCGCAACGAGCGCAACCCUCGCCCUUAGUUACCAGCGGGUAAAGCCGGGGACUCUAGGGGGACUGCCGGUGCCAAACCGGAGGAAGGUGGGGAUGACGUCAAGUCAUCAUGGCUCUUACGUCCAGGGCUACACACGUGCUACAAUGGAUCGGACAGAGGGUCGCCAACUCGCGAGAGUGAGCCAAUCCCCAAACCGGUCCUCAGUUCGGAUUGUAGUCUGCAACUCGACUAC